rnacentral:misc_RNA from 1 species
GAUGAAGAACGUAGCGAAAUGCGCUACUUGGUGUGAAUUGCAGAAUCCCGUGAACCAUCGAGUCUUUGAACGCAAGUUGCGCCCGAAGCCAUCAGGUUGAGGGCACGUCUGCCUGGGCGUCACAUAUCGUUGCCCAAUGCCUAUUGCAGUGCAAUAGGAAUUUCUAGGGCGAAUGAUGGCUUCCCGUGAGCGUUGUUGCCUCGCGGUUGGUUGAAAAUCGAGUCCUUGGUAGGGUGUGCCAUGGUAGAUGGUGGUCGAGUUAGAACGAUACCGAUCAUGUGCAUGCUCCCCAAAAUAUGGCCUCUAUGACCCACACGCGUCUUUUGACGCUCAUGACGAGGCCUCAGGUCAGGCGGGGCUACCCGCUGAAUUUAAGCAUAUCAAUAGCGGAGGA